AGUGUUUUAAUCUGGUUUAUCUGCACAUAAUAUAUGAAUCUCAGGCGUGUAGACAAUUUCUGUUUAGCGAAAGUAAAGUACACUCGUGACGCGCCACAGCAGAAAGCCGGAAACCCUCAGCGCCUGGAAGUCAGCGAUGUCGCUUGACCGUCACUAAUCUCGUCUCCAAAGUUCAGGUCCUUGAGCUGAAUCAGAUAUUCUUCACUUUGAACCAUCGGUGUGGAGAUAUCUUCAAGUGGAAACCGUUCCUGUUAAUCGCUCCGCGCGGCGCCCACGGCAGGUUGCAGCCUCUAUGAUUUGUAACGUUUAAACAGUCCAUAAUCUGUGCAAGCCGCUGAGAAAUGCAAGGUGUCACUGCAGCAAGGCUGAUGUAACAAUGACAGGGGCGCAAUAUGUUCACAAGUCCCCUUCGGGUCCCAGGGAAAGUGGCUGCAGCCUGCCCCUCUCAUACAUUUGGAUUAACGUGACAUCAGCACCAGCUGUCGGCAAGAUGAUUUACGACUUUAGGGACCUGGUGAAUGUGCUCGCCGGUAUAAACCCAUUUACUUAUCACGCCUUUAUCGCUGUCCUAUCACACGAGAAGGAAGCACUUCCAAGCCAUAGAGAAAGUAGGGUGGUCCUCCCUCAACAGUGCCCUCUAUUAAUCCCAAGGGACCCCUACAGCACUUCCAGACUCCAUCUCCCUAGCACCCUUGUGGGUGUCCUGACUGGAUGUUCAUACAAGGACCACUGCCACCUAGAGCACUGGAGAUGGAACCACUCCCAACUUCUGGCUUCCACAGGUCCAUCCAUUAUUUUACACCAGCUAGGCACAAAGUUAUUUUUUCAUCCAGCUGGCCAAUCCAUCCAUCGUUCUUCUUAGGUCAUCAAUCCAGACCAGACAUGGGAAACUCUUCCUGAUUCUGAUGACGUAACUUCCCAUUCAAGCCCCAAGAAUGUUACUUCUGGUUCUGAGCCCAAGAACAUCACUUCCUGUCCCUGGUCCAGAUGAUAUCACUUCCGAUGGCCAGCCAUAAAAGAAACCCAACCAUCUCAGUUCUGUUGUGGACUCAAUCUGUACAGUUCUCUGCAACCAAAACCUCAUUUUUGCAGCCUGAAUCAAGAAUACAGGUGGCUACCCCAAACCUCUUUUGGUGUCAUGGUCUAUUUAUUUCACAAGGUAUUUUGUUU